rnacentral:rRNA from 1 species
CAGCAGCCGCGGUAAUACGUAGGGUGCGAGCGUUAAUCGGAAUUACUGGGCGUAAAGCGUGCGCAGGCGGUCCGUUAAGACAGAUGUGAAAUCCCCGGGCUUAACCUGGGAACUGCAUUUGUGACUGGCGAACUAGAGUAUGGCAGAGGGGGGUAGAAUUCCACGUGUAGCAGUGAAAUGCGUAGAGAUGUGGAGGAAUACCGAUGGCGAAGGCAGCCCCCAGGGCCAAUACUGACGCUCAUGCACGAAAGCGUGGGGAGCAAACAGGAUUAGAUACCCCAGUAGUCCCUGUCUCUUAUAC